rnacentral:lncRNA from 1 species
GGCAGUUGUGGAUUGUUUGUCCAGAGAUGUGUUAAGAUGAGCUCUGCAUGGAGAGUCCCAAUGCUUACAUUUUGGCUCAUUUCACCAAUAAUUCCAGCAUCAGCUCCAGGAUAUCACACAGCCCAGAGUGACUUCAGACUCACUAUGCAGCUGAGGAUGACAGUGAGCUCCCACCCGUCCUGUUCCUCCCCGUGUGUACUGACAGCAGACAGGGCCAUCACAGCAGGUUUAUGCAAUGCUGGGGACGGAACCCUGGAUUCCAUGCAUGCUAAGCCAGCACACUACCAAACGAGCUACAUCUCCAGUCCCUCUUUCUUCUCUUAGCAACUAAGUAAUAAAAAAUAAAACAUGUUUUAAAUGCAUAUAUAUAUAUAUA